rnacentral:ncRNA from 1 species
UCCCGUGCAGAGGCGAGAAUAAUUAUACAAGAUGAGAAGACCCUGUGGAGCUUAAGUGUUAUAACUCAAAAAUACCAAUAUAUAACCUAUCGGAACAACCUGUAUAAGCCCCUGAGUUAUAGUCUUUGGUUGGGGUGACCUUGGAGCAUAAAACAACCUCCGAAUGAAUAUAACCCAGAUUAACAAAUCCAAGUGUAAUAAUACCAGUAAUUGACCCAUCUUUUGAUCAACAGAACAAGUUACCCCAGGGAUAACAGCGCAAUCCUAUUUGAGAGCCCAUAUCGAAAAUUAGGGUUCAUGACCUCGAUGUUGGAUCAGGACAUUCAAAUGGUCCAACCGCUAUUAAAGGUUUGUUUGUUCAACGAUUAAAGUCCUAUGUGAUCUGAGUUCAGACUGGAGAAAUCCAGGUCGGUUUCUAUCUGUAAAUU